CGACACUAUUACUCCUCUGCCUAAAUUGCCCCAGCAUCCCCUAAAACCCUAAGCAUCAAAGGGACUACAACCAUUGUUGCAGAUUUCAUAGCUAAGGGCUUACUUAUUCCUUGUGCUAGUCCCUGCAGCACUCCUACCCUCCAGCUAAAAAGUUCAAAUGGAUGUGGAUAACUCUACGUAUGAGACUUAAGGGAUGUAAACGAGAUAAUGCGCAUAUGUUUCCCAGUGGUCCCCAACCCAGAUAUUAUCCUGGCUUCUCUACCUCCAAAUUCAACACAGCAGUGGAUCUCCGUUCAACCUUCUUUAGUAUUCCCUUAUCCUGAUUCACACUCUUUUUGCUUUCACGUGGAAUAAAGAGCAAUGCCCGAGGACUGUGAUGCCUCAAGGCUUCAUUGAAGCCCUCUCGUAUAUCCCUAAGGAUCUCAACCAUAAUCUCCAAGCUUUCUGGUUCCCUCAUUCUUUUACCUUGAUCCAAUAUGUUCACUUGCCCUUAUGUUCACCUGGUGGAACCUCUUAUCUAGAGCACUCACUUUAUCUCUUGGAACAUUUGGUUACAAAAGGACAUAAAGUUUCUAAAGAUAAAUUACUAUUUUGUCAGGCUCAAAUUUGCUCUCUCUGUCUCUCUCUAUCCCAAGAAGGUAAAUUCCUCUCACCAGUCUGAGGAAUUAUAAUUUGUUCUCUCACCAGACAGAGUUAUAGCCAUCCAAUGUUUCUCUUGCCCUAUUACCAAAAGACUGGUAGAGUAAGGAACAUGGCACACUCUUCCCGGAAAACAACCAUUUAACUGGAGACAAUUAUAAAGACCAAACCAAACCAAAGCAAUCAUUUAAAGUCUCUGGCAAUGGUCCUAAGGAAUGCAAGAAGUAGAGAAACAUUUAUUCAAGAAAACACACUAAAUUUAGAAAAAACAGUGAUAGUCUGGGGCUACACUUGAGCCACAGCCUGCUCCCUCCUUCUCUCCCAGCUAUGUUUUAUGGAAACUAAUCUGGGCAUGCUACUCCUGGCGGAUGUGCCCAAGAAGAUGACGGCUUCCUCUUCCCUCGGCUCCCAGCCUAGGGCUAUGGUUUCACCCCAGGAUGGGCAGGCCACUGGCAUUCCUCAUUUCCCCCAACCCUGUGUUGCAGAAGCUCUAUUCCUGAUAGGCUUUGCCAAGAGGACUGAGUUCUCUUCCACCACCUACUCAUAGGGUAGAAGGAUCUACUCCAGGUGGAGCAAGCCGAGAACACAGGUCUGAUGGAUCCCACUCAAAGUUGUUCGUGGGGUGGAGGCUCCAGACCAGGAGGGGCAAGCCAAGAAGAACAGGGGCUACGACUGCCUCGGUGCCCACUCAUAGAACAGGAGUGUCACUCUGGGGCACUGUCACUCCAGCUCCUGUGCAGAGAGGUUCUGUGCAAGGAGAGAGGCAGGCCAUAAGGAUGAAGAACGCUGUAGCUCUGCCUAAGAGGACUAACUUUAUCUGGAACAGAGCACGGAGAAGUCCAUGCCUAAGGCUUUUGUCAACAACAGUGGAGAUCUUGUUGUAGAGCAAUUAAGAGAGAAUUCACAGCUUCAUCAUACCAGUAGCAACAAGCAAAUGGCAGAGCAAUCAGAAGUUUCACAGGGAGAAUUAGGGAAAGGAAAGCCAAGAAGACCUGUCUGGGAUCACAGCCAAGCCUGGGGUCAGGAGGGCUGUGCAUAAGCAUGAUGUUGCCCCCACUCAGCAGCAAUUAGAAUAGACAUGGAGAAGCCUUGAAAACGUGUACCAGACCUCACACAGAUCCAUGAACCAAGAGCACAAGUCUCGCUGACCAAAUACCGGCUGAAUAACCUACUCUGAUUUGGGAGCAGUUCCUAGGGAGCCAGGCUGAAGAGUAAAAUCACGGGUACCCAUGGCAGUUAGAAGACUGUGUGCAUGUUCAAAGCUGCAUUCUCUUAGGAGUGACUGGAAAGAGAAAGUCCAAGCUAAUUGUCCCUGACUGAACGUGAAGCAAAAAUGUAAACUCUGUGAGCAGUGAUAGUAGCUUCCAGGCCAAACAAACAUCCAACGAUAAAGGGUAAAAGUCUAACUGCCAAAGGGGGCUUAAACACAACCUUUGACCAAUAAGUGGUUUACGCUGACCCAGGGUUGACCCUUACGUAGUCAGGCUAAAAGAUAAAAAACAAAAAAACAAAAAAUAUGAACAAGGACGUAAGACGCUGAACGCUGUAGGGCAAAGUGACUUCACAAAGUUAGUUCACCAAAGUCACUAAAAAUAAAUAAAUGACAAAUCAACGACAGUCCCAGGGUAGGGAGAGAGCAAUAUCUGGAACUGAUGCAAUAUCUAAAUAUUUAGAUAAAGAUUUUAGAUAAAUACAUAAAUGUAUCUAAAAUUUCCAGUUUUCAACCACAGAAAAAAAAAUGAUCCAUACGAUGAAACAGGAAAGUGUGACCCAUACACACAGUCAAUAGAAACUGUUUUGGAGGGUCCCAGACUUUGGACUUAGCAGAAAAACACUUGAAAGCAGCCAUUAUAAAAAUGUUCAAAGAACUAAAGGAAAUUAUGCCUAAAAAUUUUUAAAAGUAUGAUAACAGUAUCUUGAUGAAUAAAGAAAACCAAUAAAGAGUUCAGAAUUAUAGAAAGGAACCAAAGGGAAAUUCUGGAUUGGAAAAAUACGAUAACUGAAAUGAAAAAUUUAAUAAAGGGGCUCAACAGUAGAUUUGAGCUGGAAGAAGAAAGAAUUAGUGAAGUAGAAGAGAGAUCACUAGAGAUUAGGGAAUCUGAAGAAGAGAGAGAAAAAAGAAUGGAGAAAAAUGAUCAGAAUAACAUGAAACACACCAAUGUACGUGUAAUGGGAGUAGCAGAAGGAAAGCAGAAGGGGAAAGGAGAAGAAAAAAUAUUUGUGGUAAUAAUGGUUGAAAAUUUCCCAAAUUUGAUUAAAAAACAGCUUUCAUCCACAUAUUCAAGAAACUCAUGCAGCUCAAAGUGGAUAAAAUGCAGGAAGAUUCACACCCAGAUAGAUCAUAGCCAAAAUGAUGAAAGCCAAAGAUGAAGAAAAGAUCUUAAAAACAGUAAGAGGAAAAUGACUCAUCACUUGCAAGGUAACCCCAGUAAUGUUAACAAUGAGCUUCUCACUGGAAACAAUGGAGGCCAGGAGGGAGUGGAACAACAUAUUUGAGAUGCUGAAAGCUUAAAAAAAUUAUCAACCAAAAGUUUUAUAUCCAGCAAAAAUGAAACAAAUACAUUCCAAGAUUGAAAAAAAAAAGAAAGAAAAGCAGCUUGGAGAAUUUGUUGUUAGAAGACCUGCCUUGAAAGAAACACUAGAGUUUUGAGAGUGAAAACGAGUUACGCCAGAUAGAAAUUUGAAUCCACAUCAAAAAACAAAGCAUGUCAAUAAAAGUAAUUAUGAUGGUAACUAUAAAAGAAAUUGUGUUGGAAUAAGGAAGUGACAUCAUAUGGUAAUGCAAGUUCACUGGAAGAAAUGAAGGGAAUCAGAGAUGAUAAAUAAGAAGAUUAAUAUAGCAAACUUCAAAUAUAUACUUGCACUCCUGUCUUCUUUGAGCACCUUUGAAUGACAGAAGAUUAUACAAGGUAAUAAGUUUUCAUUGUUGGGUUUGUGACACAUACAGCAAUACUGAGUAUAACAAAAUAGUACACACACGGGGUGUAGGAAUGGACCUAUACAGGAGUAAAGUUUCUAUAUUUCACUAGCAUUAAGUUAGCAUACAUCUGAAACAGAUUCUGAUAAGUUAGGAUGUAUAUUGCACGCCCUAGA
ensembl:lncRNA